GGUUAAGCGACUAAGCGUACACGGUGGAUGCCCUGGCAGUCAGAGGCGAUGAAGGACGUGCUAAUCUGCGAAAAGCGUCGGUAAGGUGAUAUGAACCGUUAUAGCCGGCGAUGUCCGAAUGGGGAAACCCAGUGCAAUUCGUUGCACUAUCGUUUGAUGAAUACAUAGUCAAACGAGGCGAACCGGGGGAACUGAAACAUCUAAGUACCCCGAGGAAAAGAAAUCAACCGAGAUUCCCCCAGUAGCGGCGAGCGAACGGGGAGCAGCCCGGAGUCUGAAUCAGCUUGUGUGUUAGUGGAAGCGUCUGGAAAGUCGCAGGGUACAGGGUGAUACUCCCGUACACUAAAGCACACAGGUUGUGAACUCGAAGAGUAGGGCGGGACACGUGGUAUCCUGUCUGAAUAUGGGGGGACCAUCCUCCAAGGCUAAAUACUCCUGACUGACCGAUAGUGAACCAGUACCGUGAGGGAAAGGCGAAAAGAACCCCGGCGAGGGGAGUGAAAAAGAACCUGAAACCGUGUACGUACAAGCAGUAGGAGCCCACUAGUUGGGUGACUGCGUACCUUUUGUAUAAUGGGUCAGCGACUUAUAUUCUGUAGCAAGGUUAACCGUAUAGGGGAGCCGCAGGGAAACCGAGUCUUAACUGGGCGUUAAGUUGCAGGGUAUAGACCCGAAACCCGGUGAUCUAGCCAUGGGCAGGUUGAAGGUUGGGUAACACUAACUGGAGGACCGAACCGACUAAUGUUGAAAAAUUAGCGGAUGACUUGUGGCUGGGGGUGAAAGGCCAAUCAAACCGGGAGAUAGCUGGUUCUCCCCGAAAGCUAUUUAGGUAGCGCCUCGUGAAUUCAUCUUCGGGGGUAGAGCACUGUUUCGGCUAGGGGGUCAUCCCGACUUACCAACCCGAUGCAAACUACGAAUACCGAAGAAUGUUAUCACGGGAGACACACGGCGGGUGCUAACGUCCGUCGUGAAGAGGGAAACAACCCAGACCGCCAGCUAAGGUCCCAAAGUCAUGGUUAAGUGGGAAACGAUGUGGGAAGGCCCAGACAGCCAGGAUGUUGGCUUAGAAGCAGCCAUCAUUUAAAGAAAGCGUAAUAGCUCACUGGUCGAGUCGGCCUGCGCGGAAGAUGUAACGGGGCUAAACCAUGCACCGAAGCUGCGGCAGCGACACUAUGUGUUGUUGGGUAGGGGAGCGUUCUGUAAGCCGUUGAAGGUGGCCUGUGAGGGUUGCUGGAGGUAUCAGAAGUGCGAAUGCUGACAUAAGUAACGAUAAUGCGGGUGAAAAACCCGCACGCCGGAAGACCAAGGGUUCCUGUCCAACGUUAAUCGGGGCAGGGUGAGUCGACCCCUAAGGCGAGGCCGAAAGGCGUAGUCGAUGGGAAACAGGUUAAUAUUCCUGUACUCGGUGUUACUGCGAAGGGGGGACGGAGAAGGCUAUGUUGGCCGGGCGACGGUUGUCCCGGUUUAAGCAUGUAGGCGGAUGUUCCAGGUAAAUCCGGAACGUCACUAACGCUGAGGUGUGAUGACGAGGCACUACGGUGCUGAAGUGACAAAUGCCCUGCUUCCAGGAAAAGCCUCUAAGCAUCAGGUAACAUCAAAUCGUACCCCAAACCGACACAGGUGGUCAGGUAGAGAAUACCAAGGCGCUUGAGAGAACUCGGGUGAAGGAACUAGGCAAAAUGGUGCCGUAACUUCGGGAGAAGGCACGCUGAUGGUAGGUGAAGCGACUUGCUCGUGGAGCUGAAAUCAGUCGAAGAUACCAGCUGGCUGCAACUGUUUAUUAAAAACACAGCACUGUGCAAACACGAAAGUGGACGUAUACGGUGUGACGCCUGCCCGGUGCCGGAAGGUUAAUUGAUGGGGUUAUCCGUAAGGAGAAGCUCUUGAUCGAAGCCCCGGUAAACGGCGGCCGUAACUAUAACGGUCCUAAGGUAGCGAAAUUCCUUGUCGGGUAAGUUCCGACCUGCACGAAUGGCGUAAUGAUGGCCAGGCUGUCUCCACCCGAGACUCAGUGAAAUUGAACUCGCUGUGAAGAUGCAGUGUACCCGCGGCAAGACGGAAAGACCCCGUGAACCUUUACUAUAGCUUGACACUGAACACUGGUCCUUGAUGUGUAGGAUAGGUGGGAGGCUUUGAAGUGUGGACGCCAGUCUGCAUGGAGCCAUCCUUGAAAUACCACCCUUUAAUGGCUGGUGUUCUAACGUGGGCCCCUAAUCGGGGUUGCGGACAGUGUCUGGUGGGUAGUUUGACUGGGGCGGUCUCCUCCUAAAGAGUAACGGAGGAGCACGAAGGUCAGCUAAUCCUGGUCGGACAUCAGGAGGUUAGUGCAAUGGCAUAAGCUGGCUUGACUGCGAGCGUGACGGCGCGAGCAGGUGCGAAAGCAGGUCAUAGUGAUCCGGUGGUUCUGAAUGGAAGGGCCAUCGCUCAACGGAUAAAAGGUACUCCGGGGAUAACAGGCUGAUACCGCCCAAGAGUUCAUAUCGACGGCGGUGUUUGGCACCUCGAUGUCGGCUCAUCACAUCCUGGGGCUGAAGUAGGUCCCAAGGGUAUGGCUGUUCGCCAUUUAAAGUGGUACGCGAGCUGGGUUUAGAACGUCGUGAGACAGUUCGGUCCCUAUCUGCCGUGGGCGCUGGAGAAUUGAGGGGGGCUGCUCCUAGUACGAGAGGACCGGAGUGGACGCAUCACUGGUGUUCGGGUUGUCAUGCCAAUGGCAUUGCCCGGUAGCUAAAUGCGGAAGAGAUAAGUGCUGAAAGCAUCUAAGCACGAAACUUGCCCCGAGAUGAGUUCUCCCUGACCCUUUAAGGGUCCUGAAGGAACGUUGAAGACGACGACGUUGAUAGGCCGGGUGUGUAAGCGCAGCGAUGCGUUGAGCUAACCGGUACUAAUGAACCGUGAGGCUUAACCUU
rnacentral:rRNA from 1 species